rnacentral:rRNA from 1 species
UACGAAGGGGGCUAGCGUUGCUCGGAAUCACUGGGCGUAAAGCGCACGUAGGCGGCUUACUAAGUCAGGGGUGAAAUCCUGGAGCUCAACUCCAGAACUGCCUUUGAUACUGGUGAGCUUGAGUCCGGAAGAGGUGAGUGGAACUGCGAGUGGUAGAGGUGAAAUUCGUAGAUAUUGGGAAGAACACCGAUGGCGAAGGCAGCCAUCUCGGACCGACACUGACGCUGAGGCGCGAAAGCGUGGGGAGCAAACAGG